rnacentral:tRNA from 1 species
UAGUGCUGAAGCCCUCUGGCUUGGGUGAUUAGUUGUUAACUAAAGUUUUACGGGAUCGAGGCCCGUUAGUCUAGG